rnacentral:rRNA from 1 species
GACGAACGCUGGCGGCGUGCUUAACACAUGCAAGUCGAACGGAAAGGCCCCUUUGGGGGUACUCGAGUGGCGCACGGGUGAGUAACACGUGAGUAACCUUCCCUUGACUUCGGGAUAACUUCAGGAAACUGGGGCUAAUACCGGAUAGGAAUCCUUGCUGCAUGGUGGGGGUUGGAAAGCUUCGGCGGUUUUGGAUGGACUCGCGGCUUAUCAGCUUGUUGGUGGGGUAGUGGCUUACCAAGGCUUUGACGGGUAGCCGGCCUGAGAGGGCGACCGGCCACAUUGGGACUGAGAUACGGCCCAGACGCCUACGGGAGGCAGCAGGGGGGAAUAUUGCACAAUGGGCGGAAGCCUGAUGCAGCAACGCCGCGGGCGGGAUGACGGCCUUCGGGUUGUAAACCGCUUUCAGCAGGGGCGAAGCUUGUGGUGACGGUACCUGCAGAAGAAGCACCGGCUAACUACGUG